rnacentral:tRNA from 1 species
GGGCGGUAGGGUGCCGGUGAAGCGCGUGAGCAGUUGCGAAUCGUUCCGGGAAAACCCGGGCAAUCCGCACCUGUUCGAAACAAGCGCCUCCCGC